rnacentral:tRNA from 1 species
GGAGAGCGCCUGCCUUGCACGCAGGAGGUCAACGGUUCGAUCCCGUUUGGGCUCCACCAUUACUGCUUCUUUAUCG